UACGGGGGGGGGCAAGCGUUGUUCGGAAUUACUGGGCGUAAAGCGCACGUAGGCGGCUUUGUAAGUUAGAGGUGAAAGCCCGGGGCUCAACUCCGGAACUGCCUUUAAGACUGCAUCGCUUGAAUCCAGGAGAGGUGAGUGGAAUUCCGAGUGUAGAGGUGAAAUUCGUAGAUAUUCGCAAGAACACCAGUGGCGAAGGCGGCUUACUGGUCCGGUUCUCGACGCUG
rnacentral:rRNA from 1 species